rnacentral:lncRNA from 1 species
GAACCCAUGAAGAGAUAAACCAUGCUUGAGAAAAUGUCCUGUUCUAAAAAAUGGAAAGAAUAUUAAAAAUCCCUAACUAAAAUAUUAAUAAAGUUCAAUAUAGUUUGAGGCAUAAAAUAUAAUUAAGUAAAAAUUAAUUGAUCAUGUGCAAAACUUACACAAAUAACUUCCUAAGAGGGCACGUUUAUUGUAGAUGAAAACAAAAAUAACACAAGUUCAUCCUACUAAAAACCAAUGAACAACCCCUGCAAGAUAACACAACAGCAGAGGAAACUACACAAAACUCCAGAGAGUCACAGGCAUCGCAAAGCUAGACAACAUCGCAAAGCUCCAAACAGUAAGAGAUUGCCUAAUGCCAAACAUACCAUUCAACCAACAAGCAAGAAACAAGGGACAAUGACACUUACAAUGAUCCACCUCAAAAUGUCUUUAAACAUCAAACCAAGCCUCCAAUCUACUAAAUACACAGCAGACCCACACCUCAGGCUGCAACUGCUAAAUAUUGUAGGCCUCCCAAAUCAAGCAGCUGACCAAUUAGAUUAGUCAACUGAAAAAGAAAAAAAAAACCUGCUUAAGAUUGUAAAACAAUGGUUAUGGUCAACAUGUGCAUUUUUUUUUUUGAAUCAGCAAAACUUUAUUAUAAGCCAACAUAGUAUAAGAAGUACCAUAAAUUGGAGAUACAAGGUAGAACAUGGAAAACAAGCAGUAGAGAACACCUAAAAACAAACAAAUACCCACCAACACCGAAAAACAAGAUAAAAUAAUAGAAACCAACAAGAAUUGAAAUACAAAACAAUAAAACCAA